rnacentral:rRNA from 1 species
AUUGAACGCUGGCGGCGUGCUUAACACAUGCAAGUCGAGCGGAAAGGCCCUUUCGGGGGUACUCGAGCGGCGAACGGGUGAGUAACACGUGAGUAAUCUGCCCUUCACUUUGGGAUAACCCCCGGAAACGGGAGCUAAUACCGGAUAUGACCGGCAACCGCAUGGUUUGUUGGUGGAAACUUUUUUGGGUGGGGGAUGUGCUCGCGGCGUAUCAGCUGGUUGGUGGGGUAAUGGCCUACCAAGGCUUUGACGGGUAGCCGGGCUGAGAGGGUGACCGGCCACACUGGAACUGAGACACGGUCCAGACUCCUACGGGAGGCAGCAGUGGGGAAUUUUGGACAAUGGGCGAAAGCCUGAUCCAGCCAUGCCGCGUGAGUGAAGAAGGCCUUCGGGUUGUAAAGCUCUUUCGGCUGAAAAGAAAUCGCACAGGCUAAUACCUUGUGUGGAUGACGGUAUCAGCAUAAGAAGCACCGGCUAACUACGUGCCAGCCGCCGCAGUAACAC